GAAAUGCUUAGAUAAAAUGGAGACAUUCCACGUGGGCCUUCCAUAGAGUGCCAUGCGGGAGCAAAGUGCGCCUCGAACCGUUGCCCGGCCUCUGCUGUGGGCUGAGAGCACUGAAGGGGCGGCACGGUG
rnacentral:snoRNA from 1 species